rnacentral:rRNA from 1 species
UACGUAGGGCGCAAGCGUUAUCCGGAAUUACUGGGCGUAAAGCGCACGUAGGCGGCUUUGUAAGUUAGAGGUGAAAGCCCGGAGCUCAACUCCGGAACUGCCUUUAAGACUGCAUCGCUUGAACGUCGGAGAGGUAAGUGGAAUUCCGAGUGUAGAGGUGAAAUUCGUAGAUACUCGGAAGAACACCAGUGGCGAAGGCGACUUACUGGACGACUGUUGACGCUGAGGUGCGAAAGCGUGGGGAGCAAACAGG